rnacentral:rRNA from 1 species
AUUGAACGCUGGCGGCAUGCCUUACACAUGCAAGUCGAACGGUAACGGGCCUUCGGGUGCCGACGAGUGGCGAACGGGGUGAGUAAUGCAUCGGAACGUACCUUUCAGUGGGGGAUAACGUAGCGAAAGUUACGCUAAUACCGCAUAUUCUGUGAGCAGGAAAGCAGGGGAUCGCAAGACCUUGCGCUGAUUGAGCGGCCGAUGUCAGAUUAGCUAGUUGGUGAGGUAAAGGCUCACCAAGGCGACGAUCUGUAGCGGGUCUGAGAGGAUGAUCCGCCACACUGGAACUGAGACACGGUCCAGACUCCUACGGGAGGCAGCAGUGGGGAAUUUUGGACAAUGGGGGCAACCCUGAUCCAGCCAUGCCGCGUGAGUGAAGAAGGCC